ensembl:lncRNA
GGAAGAUUGGAAUGGCUGUGAACCAAGAGGUUGUGAGUUCAAAUCCCAGUUGAGGACAUGUUGAAUAUUACUGACUAAGCAGGAAGAUUGGAAUGGCUGUGAACCAAGAGGUUGUGAGUUCAAAUCCCAGUUGAGGACAUGUUGAAUAUUAAUGACUAAGCAGGAAGAUUGGAAUGGCUGUGAACCAAGAGGUUGUGAGUUCAAAUCCCAGUUGAGGACAUGUUGAAUAUUAAUGACUAAGCAGGAAGAUUGGAAUGGCUGUGAACCAAGAGCUUGUGAGUUCAAAUCCCAGUUGAGGACAUGUUGAAUAUUAAUGACUAAGCAGGAAGAUUGGAAUGGCUGUGAACCAAGAGGUUGUGAGUUCAAAUCCCAGUUGAGGACAUGUUGAAUAUUAAUGACUGUAUGCAGAAACAUACACAAUGUAGCCAUGUGGCAAAAUGCAUCACGUGUUUAAGUUGAAAACACUGUGUGUUCAUCAUUACAACUCACCUUUGUUUUUGCAGGGCUUGUGAAUCUCUCCUAGAAAAAAAUGUAAUCCACAUGUGAAAGGUUUUUGUGAAAAUCCACAUGAAACUAAUAUCAUCCUGUGAAGUAUUUCCCAAAAACGUGUGAUUUUCCUGUAAGGAUGUUCGUUGAAGCUGCUACACUCUACAGAAACAGGAGCUCCUGCCCUGUGAGCCGUUCUUCCUCGGACAAGGCUACUUAUGUACAGUCGCAGGUAAAGUGAGACGUAAUACACACAUGGCACCGACCCAGAGUCGGCUAAGAAACAGCUGAAAAUGUACAGCACACAGACAGGUCAUUCCAGGUAAGAGUCAGUAAAGGAACUGAGAACCAGGGAAGUAUCCCAAAUAGCACCCUGUUCCCUAUAAGGUGCACUACUCUGGGCCCUGGUCAAAAG